AAACUGUGAGGGGUGUACUCACUUUUGUGAGAUAAUGUGUGUAUAUAUAUAUAUAUAUAUAUAUACACACAUUAUAUAUAUAUACACACAUUAUCUCACAAAAGUGAGUACACCCCUCACAGUUU